AUUGAACGCUGGCGGCGUGCUUAACACAUGCAAGUCGAUCGGUAACGCGGGGGCAACCCUGGCGACGAGAGGCGGACGGGUGAGGAACGCUUGGGAAUCUGCCUAUCAGCGGGGGACAACACGGGGAAACUCGUGCUAAUACCGCAUACGCUCUACGGAGGAAAGCCCGGGACCGCAAGGCCUGGCACUGAUAGAUGAGCCCAAGCCGGAUUAGCUAGUUGGCGGGGUAACGGCCCACCAAGGCGACGAUCCGUAGCUGGUCUGAGAGGACGAUCAGCCACACUGGAACUGAGACACGGUCCAGACUCCUACGGGAGGCAGCAGUGGGGAAUAUUGGACAAUGGGGGAAACCCUGAUCCAGCGACGCCGCGUGGGUGAAGAAGGCCUGCGGGUUGUAAAGCCCUUUCGGUAGGGACGAAAGCUCUCGACCUAACACGUCGGGAGGUUGACUUAACCUACAAAAGAAGCACCGGCUAACUCUGUGCCAGCCGCCGCAGUAAUAC
rnacentral:rRNA from 1 species